rnacentral:rRNA from 1 species
GGCGCGUAAAUUACCCACUCCCAGCUCGGGGAGGUAGUGACGAAAAAUAACAAUACAGGACUCAUAUUAGAGGCCCUGUAAUUGGAAUGAGUACACUUUAAAUCCUUUAACAAGGACCUAUUGGAGGGCAAGUCUGGUGCCAGCAGCCGCGGUAACUCCAGCUCCAAUAGCGUAUAUUAAAGUUGUUGCGGUUAAAACGUUCGUAGUUGAACUUGUGCUUCAUACGGGUAGUACAACUAUAAUUGUAGUUUGUACUGUACCUUAUGUAUGUAAGCGUAUUACCGGUGGAGUUCUUAUAUGUAUUAAAUACUUGUAUUUAUGCAUAUUCCUCCUAUUUAAACCUGCUUCAGUGCUCUUCAUCGAGUGUUGUUGUGGGCCGGUACAAUUACUUUGAACAAAUUAGAGUGCUUAAAGCAGGCUCCAAAUGCCUGAAUAUUUUGUGCAUGGAAUAAUGAAAUAAGACCUCUGUUCUACUUUCAUUGGUUUUUAGAUCAAGAGGUAAUGAUUAAUAGAAGCAGUUUGGGGGCAUUAGUAUUACGACGCGAGAGGUGAAAUUCUUGGACCGUCGUAAGACUAACUUAAGCGAAAGCAUUUGCCAAAGAUGUUUUCAUUAAUCAAGAACGAAAGUUAGAGGUUCGAAGGCGAUCAGAUACCGCCCUAGUUCUAACCAUAAACGAUGCCAGCUAGCAAUUGGGUGUAGCUACUAUCAUGGCUCUCUCAGUCGCUUCCCGGGAAACCAAAGCUUUUGGGCUCCGGGGGAAGUAUGGUUGCAAAGCUGAAACUUAAAGGAAUUGACGGAAGGGCACCACCAGGAGUGGAGCCUGCGGCUUAAUUUGACUCAGCACGGGAAAACUUACCAGGUCCGAACAUAAGUGUGUAAGACAGAUUGAUAGCU